rnacentral:rRNA from 1 species
CAGCCGCCACGGUAAUGCGAAGGGGGCUAGCGUUGCUCGGAAUUACUGGGCGUAAAGGGAGCGUAGGCGGGUCGUUUAGUCAGAGGUGAAAUCCCGGGGCUCAACCUCGGAACUGCCUUUGAUACUGGCGACCUUGAGUAUGGGAGAGGUAAGUGGAACUCCGAGUGUAGAGGUGAAAUUCGUAGAUAUUCGGAAGAACACCAGUGGCGAAGGCGACUUACUGGACCAUUACUGACGCUGAGGCGCGAAAGCUAGGGGAGCAAACAGGAUUAGAUACCCCUGUAGUCCCUGUCUCUUAUAC